rnacentral:rRNA from 1 species
AUUGAACGCUGGCGGCAUGCUUUACACAUGCAGGUCGAACGGUAACAGGUUAAGCUGACGAGUGGCGAACGGGUGAGUAAUGCAUCGGAACGUGUCCGAUCGUGGGGGAUAACGCAGCGAAAGCUGCGCUAAUACCGCAUACGAUCUGAGGAUGAAAGCGGGGGACCGUAAGGCCUCGCGCGAUCGGAGCGGCCGAUGUCAGAUUAGGUAGUUGGUGGGGUAAAGGCUCACCAAGCCAAAGAUCUGUAGCUGGUCUGAGAGGACGACCAGCCACACGGGGACUGAGACACGGCCCAGACUCCUACGGGAGGCAGCAGUGGGGAAUUUUGGACAAUGGGCGAAAGCCUGAUUCAGCAAUGCCGCGUGCAGGAAGAAGGCCUUCGGGUUGUAAACUGCUUUUGUACGGAGCGAAAAGGCUCUCUCUAAUACAGGGGGCUCAUGACGGUACCGUAAGAAUAAGCACCGGCUAACUACGUGCCAGCAGCCGCCGUAACAC